UGAACUCGACCGAGCGGCGAACUCAUCUCCGACUGAACCUGAGCCGUGUCAUGACAGUCCGUCGACAAUUUGGAUGUGAACUGAAUUGGUUUUACCAUUCCGGAUUUCUGUCUGGUCUGCAGUUUGAUUCUAGCGUUUGAACAUUUUCUGGACAGAAGCGGGAACGGACAAGCAUUUUUCCCGACCAGGCGGAGAGAAGUCGUGGUGUGCCAGCCUAUGGUAUCCGAGGUCCAGGAGAGAUGGCCUGCGCUGUUUUCCUUUGAGGAGGUCUAAGAAGGGAACUCUUGGUGAGAAGAUGGAAGACCUUCUGGAUAAACUUGAUGAACAGACUCUUUAGACAUCCAACAUUGUCUCCCACCGAAAGACAGCAGCACUGAGAGGCCUGCUCAUUUUCCUCUGAGAAGAUGCAACAAAGGUUUUCCUGAAGUGCUUUACUCCUUCUUUCGACCCGCUCCUGGCCUUUGGAUGGUAGCAACUCUCUGGCUUGCUUUAUCUGUCGUGUUUUCACGCAGCUCCUUUCUAUCUUUAGAUAUGUCUUUGGCUUCUUUGUGUUCUUUUUAACCAUUCAUCAUUGCAUUCCUUAUUUAUUUUGCACCCUCUCCAUUAUUCACAGUCCUAUAAUCAGUCAACCUGUAUACAAAGUGUGUCCAAAGUUUAGCUUAGGUGUUAUUUGCAAACCCAAAGCUCUUUUUUAGUGUCCCACAGCAUAUUUUAAAAAUGAAAUAGCAAUGUUUUAAGGAUUUUUAGAAAUAGUGACGUGAAGCAGUUCUCAAAAAACUGCUUCCAUCCAUUUUCUACAGCACUUUCCCAGCUGACAUUGGGCAAGAGGCGGAGUCAAAUUUCUGGAUUGGUUGCAAGUCAAUCUCAGCAGAGUACCUAUAGACAAACAACCAUUGACUUUCACACCUAUGGACAAUUUAGAAUCCUCAAUUAACCUAACAUUCAUCUUUUUGAAAUGUGGGAGGAGGACACAGUUCCUGGCAAAACCCCCCACAAACUCCACACGGCCGAGAUUCAAACCCAGAACCUCUAAUUGCGAGGCACACGUGCUAACCACAUAAUACACAGUUCAACCCCAUUUUCAAUCCAUCCAUUUUCUAUAUCACUUGCCCUUAUUAUGGUUGUGAGUGAGCUGCAGCCUUUCUAAGGUGACAUUAGGCAAAAGGCAGGGUACACCCUGGACCGGUUGCCAGUCAAUCUGCACAUACCGACAAACAAGCAUUCUCAUCCACAUAGACUAUUAGUUUUCAAUCAACCUAACAUGCACGUUUUUGGAAUGUUUGAAGAAGCUGCAGUUCCCGGAGAAAACCUGGGGACAUCAAACUCCACAUAGGAAGGCAGAUUUAAACUCAGAACCUAUUGACUGUGUGGCAGACGUGCUUACCACCAUGGUGCUGAAAUGAUGCCUUUAUCACAAAAUAUCAGUUUAGUGAUUUACAGGAAAGCAAAUUAUUUAAACAUUUGUAAAGACAAAUGCAGACUCACUGCUCAUCAUUUGAACAGCCUAACAAAUUUUGUGUCACUUUCUGUAUAAUUAAAUUCAAUCAAACGUUUUAGGAUGCUUAGAGUUAGAAUUGAGAACUGAUGUACAUCUAUGUUGCAUGGAGUCCACCCACUUCACAGCAAUAAGAGGUUGGGGAUUUUUUUUUAUUUGGAGUUGAAUGUGCAUAAAUGUGAAUGGAAUAA